CUCCAUUUAGUCACAGCAGUUAGCUAACCAUGUAGCUGUUGAUAACAUAGCACGGUUUCGGAGCCCCUCAGCCCUCGGGAGGUCUGGGAUUUCUCUGCGCAGCGUGGGCCUGCAGGAGGAACGGAUCCCGGCUGGGAGAGCCAGACCAAUUACAUUGUUGGGAUGGAUGCAGUGCUACGUGAGAAUUGCUCUUAUUAGCAGCCAGUGGGAUAGAAGUUUUGCAGGAGGGCAUUUUCUGCAGCGGUGAGCUGCUAGCCAGAUAUCUAGGUCAGGCACCGAAAGCCGUAGACCGAAAUCAAGGCAACCGCUCCGCACACCUUUCCUUCAUGAGAGUUACAGAGACUACCAAAAUCCUCCACACCUGAAAAAGUACCAGGAGAUCACUGUGAACUGUGCGUGUCACUUUGACAAGCCCUGUUCCAACUUCAGACAGGACAUUGCCUGCAGAAAGGUGAUUUUCAGUCUUCGCGCGCAGUGACUGCUGCUUUUGGAUAUGUUUGAACCCAGGGGUCCCCAGACCACCUCUGCCAAGGCAGGACAGCCACCGCCUGUAGGUGAGGCCCGGCUGCCGCCCCCUGUGCUCAUGAGGAUUAACGAACAGCAAGAAAGCAAAUUGCUACAGUUAAAGGAAGAAAACAGCAGGACUAACACGUUUCAGUCGGGGUACUACGCUGAGACUCAGCAAUCUUUAUUCUCUUUGUGAGCAGCAGUUCUUUAAGAGCUUUACACCCAAUAAAAUUUAAACUUUUAUAUAUUUUUUUUUC
ensembl:lncRNA